CCACGGCGGCGUGCCUCCAUCCCCUCCGGCCUCUCACCCCGACCCCGGCGGCACCGGCGGCCGUAAGUUUCUUCCUCACCUCUUCCCUAGUUAAUUUCUUCCCGAUUUUCCGGAUCCGCGACGUCGAAGGCUUCUUCCUCCCUCGGAUUUCCGCUCAGUCCUCGGAUUUCCCGUCGCUCCUCGGAUCUCCCUGCAGUCCAAGUUCCGGCCGGUGUCGGAGACGAGACGGCCUAUAGAUAUAGAUGGAGGAGAGGGCGGAGGAGAUCGAUCUGAGCAAGCCGAGGCUGCGCGCGAUGGGGAAAAAGUUACCCCCUUCUACUCCGACGGCGGGAAGGCGGCGCAAAGGUCCCUCCUUGGUCCCCCUCUCCGCCUGCAAGCGCCGGCGGACCCCUGAGGCAAGCGGCUGGGCUUCCCUCCCCACCGAUGUAGUUCACCUCGUCACCAGCCGCCUGCUGGCCGGCGACGUGGUGGACUACAUCGUCUUCCGGGCCGUCUGCUCCGGCUGGCGCAGCUGCACGAGCGACGCGCGCGACCCCACCCUGAGCAGACCGGACCUCUGGCCGCGCGGCUGGGUCGCCCUCUGCGACGGCGACGGGGUACGCCCGGACGACGCCGGCGAGAUCGGCUUCUUCCACACGCGGACAGCCAGGCGCCUCCGCGUCCGCCUACCGGAGCUCCGGCGCCACAGGAUCAUCGGUUUCACCCGAGGACUGAUCAUUCUUCUGAACAAACGCACCGCCGCCGUCCGGGUGCUGCAUCCCUUCACACGGGUCGUGGUCGACCUCCCGUCCCUCGUCCCCGUGUUCCACGACGCUGUCAGGAACCGGAACUCUGUGCUUGACAUGAAUGCCGCGGUCUGCAGCGCGUCCGCGACCUCCAUUGCCGUGGUGGCAUGGUUCCCGUGGACACAUGUGGUGAUCGGCGCCGAGGCUGGCCGCCCAACUUGGGAGGUCCUCCACCAAGGGCUCUUCCUUAAAAGCAUCUUGCCCUUCCAAGGAAGGCUUUACGCGACGGUCGCCAUGGGUGGCUCAAGGAAGAUCAUGCAGCUGUACCCGAGAUCACCACAUCCUGUGCUUGCUCGUGUUCCAAAUGAUUUUGGUGAUCCGGGGCUAUGUGGCUACUUCCUCGUGGAGUCCGGUGGGCGGGUGCUGCUUGCCGUCCACCAUUUAACUGCACAACAUUGUGGCACGGAGCCCUUUCAGCAACAUGCCUAUAAGCUAUUUGCGUUGGACAUCGACCGCGGUGAGCUGAUCCCAGUGAACUGCCUCAGUGGCCACGCGCUGUUCCUCAGCAGGGAUCGGUCCCUCUCUGUUUCAGCCAGGGACCUCCCUUCUGUGAACAGCAACUCCAUUUACUUCUCUUUGCACCGUGACCCUGUUGUGGUGCACUCCGUAAGGACAGGUUUCUCUGAGCGGCUAGCAGUGUCAUGCCAAAUACAUGACGGGAAGGAUAGGAUCCGACCCUCCGUGCGCCUUUCACCAUUGCUGACCAUCUUCUAACCUACUGCCAUCCUCAUGAGUGGACAAAAGGACUCAUGUUUCACGAGUACCACUCUAUACCUGAAUCUUUCGAGGAACUGAGGAAGAACAUCAAGGCAAAAGAUUCUAAACUACGGAUUCCUCGCGUUGCAGUUUGUUGAUCCGAAGGAGGAAACAGAGUCACAGCACCUCACACUAGCCAUUGAAUAGUGAAGAAGGGCGAAAAAUCUGGUGUUUGUUUGGAUUCUUGAGACAUCAUCAUGCUUGACUAUGAUUAUGUUCAAAUAUAUCUGGUGUUAGGAUAAGGAAAAGAAAUCCAACCUCAACACAAUCUAAAGGUGUGCUGUUCUCAUGAAGAGCUGUUGUAUUUUACCAUGUACAGUAGCUAUUUAUGUUGUAACCUGUAGCACAACUUGUCUUGGUUACUGACGGUGCUAAAGGAAAAAUGUGAUGCUUAGACUUGUGCCCAGCAAUAUGGCUAGUACCAGACCAUUCAAACCGAGAAAGGGACAGGUGCCCUCAAGCCAAAUUGGGCUGGAGUAUGCGCAACCUUAAAGGCCCUAUUUGUUCCAACUUCAAUUGGAUUCCAAACACCUCUGGAUUCACUUAGUGGCAUAAGAUUCUGUUUGUUUCA